rnacentral:rRNA from 1 species
GAGUUUGAUCAUGGCUCAGAUUGAACGCUGGCGGCAGGCUUAACACAUGCAAGUCGAACGAUGACUCUCUAGCUUGCUAGAGAAGAUUAGUGGCGGACGGGUGAGUAACAUUUAGGAAUCUGCCUAGUAGUGGGGGAUAGCUCGGGGAAACUCGAAUUAAUACCGCAUACGACCUACGGGUGAAAGGGGGCGCAAGCUCUUGCUAUUAGAUGAGCCUAAAUCAGAUUAGCUAGUUGGUGGGGUAAAGGCCCACCAAGGCGACGAUCUGUAACUGGUCUGAGAGGAUGAUCAGUCACACCGGAACUGAGACACGGUCCGGACUCCUACGGGAGGCAGCAGUGGGGAAUAUUGGACAAUGGGGGCAACCCUGAUCCAGCCAUGCCGCGUGUGUGAAGAAGGCCUUUUAGUUGUAAAGCACUUUAAGCAGGGAGGAGAGGCUAAUGGUUAAUACCCAUUAGAUUAGACGUUACCUGCAGAAUAAGCACCGGCUAACUCUGUGCCAGCAGCCGCGGUAAUACAGAGGGUGCGAGCGUUAAUCGGAAUUACUGGGCGUAAAGCGAGUGUAGGUGGCUCAUUAAGUCACAUGUGAAAUCCCCGGGCUUAACCUGGGAACUGCAUGUGAUACUGGUGGUGCUAGAAUAUGUGAGAGGGAAGUAGAAUUCCAGGUGUAGCGGUGAAAUGCGUAGAGAUCUGGAGGAAUACCGAUGGCGAAGGCAGCUUCCUGGCAUAAUAUUGACACUGAGAUUCGAAAGCGUGGGUAGCAAACAGGAUUAGAUACCCUGGUAGUCCACGCCGUAAACGAUGUCUACUAGCCGUUGGGGUCCUUGAGACUUUAGUGGCGCAGUUAACGCGAUAAGUAGACCGCCUGGGGAGUACGGCCGCAAGGUUAAAACUCAAAUGAAUUGACGGGGGCCCGCACAAGCGGUGGAGCAUGUGGUUUAAUUCGAUGCAACGCGAAGAACCUUACCUGGUCUUGACAUAGUGAGAAUCCUGCAGAGAUGCGGGAGUGCCUUCGGGAAUUCACAUACAGGUGCUGCAUGGCUGUCGUCAGCUCGUGUCGUGAGAUGUUGGGUUAAGUCCCGCAACGAGCGCAACCCUUUUCCUUAUUUGCCAGCGGGUUAAGCCGGGAACUUUAAGGAUACUGCCAGUGACAAACUGGAGGAAGGCGGGGACGACGUCAAGUCAUCAUGGCCCUUACGACCAGGGCUACACACGUGCUACAAUGGUAGGUACAGAGGGUUGCUACACAGCGAUGUGAUGCUAAUCUCAAAAAGCCUAUCGUAGUCCGGAUUGGAGUCUGCAACUCGACUCCAUGAAGUCGGAAUCGCUAGUAAUCGCAGAUCAGAAUGCUGCGGUGAAUACGU